rnacentral:tRNA from 1 species
GGAGCGUACAGCUCAGUGGUAGAGUGUGUGCUUAGCAUGCACAAGGGAGGUCCUGGGUUCAAGCCCCAGUACCUCUG